GAGGGUAUAGCUCAGCGGUAGAGCACAUGCUUAGCAUGCACGAGGUCCUGGGUUCAACCCCCAGUACCUCCA
rnacentral:tRNA from 1 species